CCUACGGGGUGCAGCAGUGAGGAAUAUUGGUCAAUGGGCGAGAGCCUGAACCAGCCAAGUCGCGUGAGGGAGUACUGCCCUAUGGGUUGUAAACCUCUUUUGUCGGGGAGCAAAAGCCGGACGUGUCCGGCUGUGAGAGUACCCGAAGAAAAAGCAUCGGCUAACUCCGUGCGAGCAGCCGCGGUAAUACGGAGGGUGUGAGCGUUAUCCGGAUUUACUGGGGGUAACGGGAGCGUAGGCGGUGUAGCAAGUCAGAAGUGAAAGCCCGGGGCUCAACUCCGGGACUGCGUUUGAAACUGUUGAACUAGAGUGCAGGAGAGGUAAGUGGAAUUCCUAGUGUAGCGGUGAAAUGCGUAGAUAUUAGGAGGAACCCCGGUGGCGAAGGCGGCUUACUGGACUGUAAAUGACGCUGAGGCUCGAAAGCGUGGGGAGCAAACAGGAUUAGAUACCCCAGUAGUC
rnacentral:rRNA from 1 species